AGGCCGUCCAUGAGGAAAGUCCGGGCUCCACAGGGCAAGGAUAACGGGUAACGCCCGCCGAAGGCGACUUCAGGAAAAGUGCAACAGAGAUAUACCGCCUCCCCCGUUACAAAAUGGGGUCCCCGCAAAACACAGUUUUUGUAGGGAGAGGAAGCACAGCGAAAUGAAUGUCCCUGCCGCUUUGCGGCGUGUGGCAGGAUAUGGAGCUUGUGCCGACGAGGUAAGGGUGGAAAGGUGCGGUAAGAGCGCACCCAUCGGCUCGAGAGUGUCCGAUGCUGUAAACUCUAUCCGGAGCAACACCGGUAUGGGAGCACACAGGCUGGCCCGGCCGCUCCCGGGGUGGCUGGAGCGCACUGGCAACAGCGCGCCUAGAUAGAUGGCUGUCAAAUACAGAACCCGGCUUACAGUUUUGCUCGCAAA
rnacentral:RNase_P_RNA from 1 species